CAAAAGAUCAAAUGGUGAUUGAUCUUGCCUUGCGGACAAAGACACUCUUCUGGAGUAGCAUUUUUCUUGGAUCGGCAUCAAUUGGUAUCCUUGGAUUUGCGUUUGUAAGAAAUUGGAAUAGAUGGAAAGAGUGGAGGCAGCCUAGACGGGAUGAGCAGCUGCAGCAGAGUCGUGCUGCAGCCAACGAACCCAACGCUCGCAUUGCAGAGGAUGAAGCGGAAGAUGUACCAGAAGGACAGUUAUGUGUAAUUUGUCUAAUGAGGAGGAGGAGAUCCGCUUUUGUUCCAUGCGGUCAUCUUGUGUGUUGUCCGCGAUGCGCAAUAUCCGUACGGGAGGUUUCACCAAAAUGCCCUGUUUGUAGGCAGCCAAUCUUCAAUUCACUCCGCAUCUAUGUAUCUUGACUAUAAUAGUGAAUCUGCUUCUGUUAGUCAAAGUGUCGGAAGACAAAAUUAUUAGCUUUUCUUCCUUAAAUUAUGAGAGCAUGCCCAUUCUUUCACGAAGAGAUCACGGUAAACUAGUGAUUAUUUCUCGUGUAAAUGAGUAAUGAUGCUGUAUUGGUCUCU